ensembl:lncRNA
GACCCGAGGCGGCCGGCAGCUGGCGGCGCGGGCCGGGCCGGGGAGUCCCGAGCCCCGCAGCGACGGCGGCAGUGCCCCGGCUCGGCUGGCCCUGAUUGAUUUGUCAGCCGAAGGGAUCCGCGCGACGGGUCCUCGGCUUCCCCAAGCGCGAGGCCUCCCUUCCGCGCCUCGCCCGGCUCCCGGGCCGGUCCCGCAGGCUGGAGCUCCCCGCCCCCCGCCCCGGGCCCCGGCGCCCCUCCUCGGCCCCGCUCUCCGCGCCCCUCCUCCGGCUCGGCCGUGUUCGCCCGCGGGCCCUGGGGCUGCCCGCUGCCCCCUCGCCCCCCCUGGGCACCGUGCCAGCACCCCCAGCCCUCACCCUGCUGCUCCCCCCCCAGCCCCGCGCCCCCGCCCCUCGCCCCUCGGCCCUGGCCCGGGGCCGCCCGCCGAGCCGGCCACACCCGCGGCGGAGGACUCGGAAAGGGGCGAGGAGGGAAGACUUCACCCAGAAACAAAGAAUUGAGACCAACUGAGACUGUCCCAGCCUCUUCCAAGACUGAAGAACCCCAGCUUCUGGGCUGAGGGCCCACAUGGAG